rnacentral:rRNA from 1 species
GACGAACGCUGGCGGCGUGCUUAACACAUGCAAGUCGAACGGAAAGGCCCUGCUUUUGUGGGGUGCUCGAGUGGCGAACGGGUGAGUAACACGUGAGUAACCUGCCCUUGACUUUGGGAUAACUUCAGGAAACUGGGGCUACUACCGGAUAGGAGCUCCUGCUGCAUGGGGGGGGUUGGAAAGUUUCGGCGGUUGGGGAUGGACUCGCGGCUUAUGAGCUUGUUGGUGGGGGAGUGGCUUACCAAGUCUGUGACGGGUAGCCGGCCUGAGAGGGUGACCGGCCACCUUGGGACUGCGAGACGGCCCAGACGCCUACGUGAGGCAGCAGUGGGGAACAUUGCACAAUGGGCGCAAGCCGGAUGCAGCAACGCCGCGGGCGUGAUGACGGCCUUCUGGUUGUAAACCGCUUUCGCCUGUGACGAAGCGUGAGUGACGGUAAUGGGUAAAGAAGCACCGGCUAACUACGUG